CCGACCUUAGCUCAGUUGGCAGAGCGCGAGACUGUAAUGGGAACCGUCCUUCGUUUCAUCUAUGGACAUUUGGAAUCUUGAGGUCGCUUGUUCGAGGCAAGCAGGUCGGA